AACGAACGCUGGCGGCAGGCCUAACACAUGCAAGUCGAGCGCUCUAACCACUUCGGUGGGGAUGGGAGCGGCGGACGGGUUAGUAACGCGUGGGAACGUGCCCUUUGCUACGGAACAACGGCUGGAAACGGCUACUAAUACCGUAUGUGCCCUACGGGGGAAAGAUUUAUCGGCAAAGGAUCGGCCCGCGUUGGAUUAGAUAGUUGGUGAGGUAAUGGCUCACCAAGUCUGCGAUCCAUAGCUGGUUUGAGAGGAUGAUCAGCAACACUGGGACUGAGACACGGCCCAG
rnacentral:rRNA from 1 species